GAAAGCCGUGUGCGGGAAACUCGCACGCACGGUUUGAAAGGGGGAUCUGGAAACGGGGUGGCGUAACCGCCGCAACCGCGCCAGAAUUCUACCAAUGGAAAAACGGAUGAAGCGCGUGGCGAUCUUCGG
rnacentral:ncRNA from 1 species